GAUUAAGCCAUGCAUGUGUAAGUAUAAAUAAUUAUAUAGUGAAACUGCGAAUGGCUCAUUAUAUCAGUUAUAGUUUAUUUGAUAAUUAAUUUGAAAUUUCUUUAUUGAAAUUUUAAUACUAAUUGGAUAACCGUAGUAAUUCUAGAGCUAAUACAUGAAUUAAAAUCCUAACCUUUAUUGGAAAGGAUGUAUUUAUUAGAUGAUAAAACCAAUAUAAUUAAUAAGGUGAAUCAUAAUAAUUAAUCGAAUCGUAUGGUUGUAAAAUACUAACGAUAAAUCAUUCAAGUUUCUGCCCUAUCAGCUUUCGAUGGUAGUGUAUUGGACUACCAUG
rnacentral:rRNA from 1 species